CAUCGAAAAAGUCCUUCAUCCUGCAAUAUUUGUGUUUCUUCAAUAAGAAGCGCCUAUGCCUCAUGAACAUUGUCUUCAUAGAUUCCUUAAGGUACACAUAUGAUGUUCCAUCCAAGCAAACUACGCAUGUUAUCUUACCUUUUACCUUACCUAUUAGGCUAUUAGGGCAAAUAGGGCGGGAUAAUCAUUGAUGGUAACAAAGAUAAUAGCCCUUAGUGUGAAGUGCUCAUGCUUUUACUCAUCCCACA
rnacentral:lncRNA from 1 species